AACAGGUGUUACUGGGCCUGCUGGUAAAUGGAGCCUGCAUGCUGGGAGGAGAAGAGGCGGCUGUUCAUUUCCAUGACCAAAUGCCUAAAGCUUCGGGACCGGCUCCAACUCCUCAGGACCUGCACAGCCUGCCUGAAGCCGGCUGUUUAGAAAAAGAGGGAGAAGAUCUGAUCCUGGGUCCUUUGCGGCUUCAUCUGUAAAGCAGGUCAAAGUCACAGCACCUCUGCCUCUGUAUCGGACAUAACAUCCUGAGACGGCAGAGAUUGGUGGCCAGGAUGCUGAAUUUUUCAUGAGGCAGGAAAGGUUAGAUAAGAUCCUCCCACGU